rnacentral:lncRNA from 1 species
CAUGAGUGACCUUCAAAGGAAAGCCGGGUAUCUGUGGUCUUUAAGAUGUGAUCCAUGACAUUUAAAAACUGAAGAAAUGGAAAGAUCAUCUGAUCAGGCCCAUCAGUCUUUUUCCUAAUGCUAAACAUUGGUACAAAGACGUGAAGUUUGAUGUCUCACUAAGAUUGCCUAGGGCUGCUUUAUUGCUCACCUACUUCAAAGUAUUGGGAAAACAUGAUUAUGGGUACAGGUGAUGCUGUGUUGCCCCCAGACAGGUUUCUUUUGUCAGGUUCUUUUGAUGGAUUAGGAACCUACAAGUGGGGAGAUUUUAGGGAAAUAGCCCCUCCACUUGGAUUUCACCAAAACGUCUUUAGGGUUCUCUUACCCCAAGAAACACGCAUUCCUCUUUAGUGUGGCAGCCCACUCUAUUGGCAAAGUUAAGCAGACCAGUUUUACUAAAAAGGAGCCACCCAGAAACUUAGACAGAAAAUACUUGAGGCACAGAUGAGAAUGAGCACAAAUGUGCAUAGCAAGUGCAGUUUCCUGGCCCUUAAACUGAAGGGCCAGGUCAGUCUGCUCCUCCAGGCACAGCCUGGGACCCCAUCAUGUGCCCCACUCUGCAGUCUGAGCUUCCACUCAAGUCCACCAGGGCCUGCCUCACAUAUAUAUACAAGACCCAAUGUCAGAGUCUGCCUCUGCCCAUGUCUGGUCAGAGGGUUGCACUUUGCCACUGCUACAUGUUCCCAGAGGUUGGCACAGCAUGACCUGGACCUCACCUAACCCAGGCAAACUCUGCUCAUCUUCGAGCUCUCUGGAACCCAUUUCUCAAGGGAGAACCACAUUCCCCCACCUCACAGCCAAGUUCAAGGAAGCAGCCUGGCUAAAGCAAUGACUCAAGGAUACCAGAAGCAGAGCACGCAUUUAAGAAGAUGCGCUGACUCGCAGGAGCAGCUGACUCUUCUUAAGAAGAGUUUACUGAUUCUUCUUUCAGUACGGGCCUUUUAAUAAGAUAUUGUAUUUUACUUCAGCUAUGGGUGCAGACAAUUAAAGGAUU